AAAAAUCUUUAAAAUUUAAAAAAAUAUAAAAAAAACAUAAAAUUUCACAAAAAUUACAUAAAAUAAUGAUUAAAUUUAAUUAUGUGGCAGAAUUUGUCAGAAGUUUUUCACAUAUUAUUUUCUUCCUUCACCAUCAGUUGAUCUUUGAGGACAGGGGUCGGCAACCUUUCUGGAGUGAAGAGCCAUUUUUUUCCCGAUUUGGCAACCUUUUUGGAGUUAAGAGCCAUUUUUUUUCCGAUGUGAUAAAUUAUUUUUUUAAAGAGCCAAAUAUAAGUACAUACAUCGGUAAUAUGUUUUUUAGAAGGUACCUAAAAUUCUUGCGAAUUCGUUUUAGUUUCCAUUGAUUUCAGUUAAUUUAUCCGCACAAAAUGUAAAAAUAAUUUGAUUGG
rnacentral:lncRNA from 1 species